GGCGACGAAAACACUGCCAAAGUUAUUACUAGUGGCAUAAAAAAGGGGAAGAUACGAAUAAAAGGUAAUUGUUGCACCAAUGGGAGAACAGUACCCGCUAAAACUAAUAUGCAACAAAAAAAUAAUGUUGAGUGGCAUGUAAAUAUGUGUGUUCAUGCGCUUAAUAUACCUUGGCUGCCUAAAGAGCUCUCAGAGUGGGGCGGUAAGGGUGAAAAGACGUGAUAUAUUGUAGAUAUGGUACAUAUGUAUACACAAUAACUUUUGGGGCCUUUCCAUCGAAGUCGGACAUCAAUGAAGUUUUUUUUAAAAGAGUGUGUAUAUGCAUUUAAUAACACCCUGUAUCUAAAUACAUAAGUAUGCGACACUAUGUUGCAUACAAUAACAAACAUAAAGCCAAAAGCGCAGAGCCGCUUGAGUUUAUUGACUCAGGCUCAUAUUACGCAGCGCGGACCGCUAGUACUCUAGCUGGCCGUUUAGCUGACUGCGCUUAUCCCACGCUUGGCUUAUAUACCAAGAGUACCAUAUAUGUACUCACUAAUGCAUGCACAUACCAAGCACUCUCUCUCUCUCUUUGAAUUAUGCUCUGCUGCGACAGAGCUUUACAUAUUAUAAUAACUAUAUCUUAGGUUUUGAAGCGGACAGAGUUCCGAAUAAAGAACAUUCCAAAAAUAACUAUAAGCCAGCACUAACGUGCAGCUUGAACAUUUUUCUACAUGGCGACCGUGAAAAGUGUCACCCAACGAGGGAAUAUUCUUUACAACAUAUUCAACUACAAGAACAACAGUAACAAGAUGGAAUAGCAGCAGCAAUAACAACAGCAAAUAAAACAAACAACAAUCCAAGAGGAGCCGUCACCUGGCAACGACGCAAUCCGGAAACAAAACAACACUUGGUAUGAGAAAAAAAAAAAAAUUUUGCAUUCAACAUAUGUAAACCCACCAAGCUCAGCCACAAUAAGCCGCAACGACAAUAUUAAAAGGAGCUGCAGCUACAGCAGCAGAAACAAUAACAGCAACAACGUCACAUGGUAAACAACGAAUCAGAAACACCGACGUUCGCAGAGGGAACACCAAUAACGCAAACGGAUGCACCAUUAAUCAAGGCAAGUGAUAGAGACUAGCCUGCGAGACGGACCCAGGCCUAUCACUAUAGAGGAGUACAAGAGGGAGCGUCAGCUUGCCAGCACCGGCGACGCCAAGCUGACGCAUAGGAAACAACGAGGGGGCGAAAAAGCCAAACUGAAGCAGAUCAACACCCUGUUGCAAAACAGGAAGAAGCGGACCAACAAAUGUUAGUGCCUCGCUUAAAUUUUUAAGUACCCAUCUUGCGUUUGCGCUAGGUACGAAAAACUAACACUUGUCUCAGUUUAAACAACUAACAAACACUUUGUAGUGUAAACUUAAUCUAAGUAAUAUAUUGUAAACUUGACAUUUGCUAAUGUAAACUACAAAGUGUUCCCCUGUUGAUUUCAUAAAAUUCAUUUGUAACAAAUAGAAGAAGAAAGAUAAUGAUUUGAUGUAAAUAUCACAAGUUAAUCAUUCAAACUAUUAAAUCGCAAGUCAAUUAUUCAAAUUUUUAUAUUUCAAACCUUUAAAACGGAGGUAUUAUUCACACUCCAUAAUCACUUCCCUUGGUCCACCAUGGGAUUAAUAGACACAAAGACAGUGGAUUCCACCGCCAACGUUAUUAAUAAAGUUGAGGAG